ensembl:lncRNA
CAGACGUCGCACAUAAACAAACUGCGUUACAACUUAACAUUCGCAACAUCACAGACGCGACACAGGCUGCUCCUCGUACGGGGAGCUGUUAUUCCGCACGAUACCUUAGACGAGUAGGAAGCCAGCAAGAGGAAAAAGAAAACUUUUUUGCGGCCGUUUCUUGUUGCUUGCCAAUAUUAUUUUAUUAUUUUAUUUUUUUGAGAUUUCUCGAUACAAACAGGAUAUUUUUAUACUAAGUUGAUAUCACAUGUAAAGACGGAACCGCCACAGCAAACCAAGCCCGGUUCGGAAGAGCGCGCGACGCCGAGCUCCGAGCACCAGCGACUAGACACCUCUCGUCUGACGUCUCACGUGCUGCCUCAUCCCGGCCGGAACCACGCCACCCCUCCACCUCGGACCCACAUCACCAUUCAGCGCGACGCUCUCUCACCAGAUAAAUAUGACGCGUGGGGGAUCGGGCCGAUGAGGCAGAGCUGGCUGAGCGUCAAUGAGAGCAGCGCUCUGUUG